rnacentral:tRNA from 1 species
GAUGGGGUUCCCGAGCGGCCAAAGGGAGCAGACUGUAAAUCUGCCGUCAUCGACUUCGAAGGUUCGAAUCCUUCCCCCACCACCA